rnacentral:rRNA from 1 species
UACAGAGGGUGCGAGCGUUUGUUCGGAAUUAUUGGGCGUAAAGGGCGCGUAGGCGGUGCCACAAGUCACUUGUGAAAUCUCCGGGCUUAACUCGGAGCCUGCAGGCGAAACUGUGGUGCUGGAGUGUGGGAGAGGUGCGUGGAAUUCCCGGUGUAGCGGUGAAAUGCGUAGAUAUCGGAAGGAACACCCGGUGGCGAAAGCGGCGCGCUGGACCUCUUCUGACGCUGAGGCGCGAAAGCCAGGGGA